CUGGCUCAGAUUGAACGCUGGCGGCAUGCCUUACACAUGCAAGUCGAACGGCAGCGCGGGAGCAAUCCUGGCGGCGAGUGGCGAACGGGUGAGUAAUAUAUCGGAACGUGCCCUGUAGCGGGGGAUAGCCCGGCGAAAGCCGGAUUAAUACCGCAUACGCUCUACGGAGGAAAGCGGGGGUCGCAAGACCUCGCACUAUAGGAGCGGCCGAUAUCGGAUUAGCUAGUUGGCGGGGUAAAAGCCCACCAAGGCUACGAUCCGUAGCUGGUCUGAGAGGAUGAUCAGCCACACUGGAACUGAGACACGGUCCAGACUCCUACGGGAGGCAGCAGUGGGGAAUUUUGGACAAUGGGCGCAAGCCUGAUCCAGCCAUGCCGCGUGAGUGAAGAAGGCCUUCGGGUUGUAAAGCUCUUUCGGCAGGAACGAAAUGGUCCGUGCUAAUACCACGGACUGAUGACGGUACCUGAAGAAGAAGCACCGGCUAACUACGUGCCAGCAGCCGCGGUAAUACGUAGGGUGCAGGCGUUAAUCGGAAUUACUGGGCGUAAAGCGUGCGCAGGCGGUUUCUUAAGUCAGAUGUGAAAGCCCCGGGCUUAACCUGGGAACUGCGUUUGAAACUGGGAGGCUUGAGUGUGGCAGAAGG
rnacentral:rRNA from 1 species